CGCGUAGGCGGUUUUUUAAGUCAGAUGUGUAAUCCCCCGAGCUUAACUUGGGAACUGCAUCUGAGACUGGAAGGCUAGAGUACUGGAGAGGGUGGUGGAAUUCCUCGUGUAGCGGUGAAAUGCGUAGAGAUGAGGAGGAACACCAGUGGCGAAGGCGGCCACCUGGACAGUAACUGACGCUGAGGCGCGAAAGUGUGGGUAGCAAACAGGGUUAGAUACCCUGGUAGUCCACGCUGUAAACGAUGAACACUUGGUGUGGAGGGAGUUGACCCCUUCCGUGCCGGAGCUAACGCGUUAAGUGUUCCGCCUGGGGAGUACGGUCGCAAGGCUGAA
rnacentral:rRNA from 1 species